GAUGAAGAACGCAGCGAAAUGCGAUAAGUAAUGUGAAUUGCAGAAUUCAGUGAAUCAUCGAAUCUUUGAACGCACCUUGCGCCCUUUGGCCAUUCCGAAGGGCAUGCCUGUUUGAGUAUCAUGAACACCUCAACUCUUCAUGGUUUUCCAUGAUGAGCUUGGACUUUGGGGGUCUUGCUGGCCUGUGGGUCGGCUCCUCUCAAAUGAAUCAGCUUGCCGGUUUUUGGUGGGCAUCACAGGUGUGAUAACUAUCUACGCUUGUGGUUUUCCACCAGGGUAACCUUCAGCAGUGGAGGUUCACUGGAGCUUACAAAUGUCUCUCCUCUGUGAGGACAGCCCUUUGAAUGUUUGAUCUCAAAUCAGGUAGGACUACACGCUGAACUUAAGCAUAUCAAUAAGCGGAGGA
rnacentral:misc_RNA from 1 species